AUUAUAUAUAAAUUAACCAAAAAUAUUUAACAAAAUCUACAUAUUUAAAAAUUGUAGAAAUAUUUUCUCGGCUAUUUAGUGAUUUUUUAAUUACAAUAUAAUUUCACUAAUUUUUUAAUAAUUAUUUAACUAUGAAUUGAUGAAAAAAAUGCUCGACAUGAGUUCAGUAAACUUGCAAGAAUAUAUUCAAGAAGGAAGAAAGAGCCAGAGCAUGUUAUUAAUUGGGAUCAUGAGACAUGCUCUCAGACAUACAUCACAAAAGGUGCAAAUAGUGCAACAUAUAGUUUAAAGAUAGAGGGGUAAUGAAAUUCAAGUAACAUUUGGUCGAUGGUUGCCUCGACGUGUCUACCUAUUGGAAAUGCCCACAGAAGGUCCGCCAGCUAAUGAAGAAGCACUUAUUUAAAGUCAAGGCACCCAAGCAAAAAAGUGCUAAGAAGAAGGCAGAGGUCGAAUGCCAAGCAACAAAGCCACCAUCAUACAACUCCAAGUAACCAGAUGAGUAUGAGGCAAUCAUUCCAAAUGAUGAGGAGUUUGGGACCUCAUAUUGAGUCAGUAUUUGUUCCAAGUCUAUUAGGGUAGAUCCAGGCUACAAGAGGACUUUAUCAAUCAAGAAGGUCGUCGGCAAAGGUGAUGGUCGUAUAGCCUCUAUGAGGCUUUUAGCAAUAAAAAAGAAAAGAUGUCCAAAGAGAUACCAACAGGAGCCACCAUUCACGAUGUAGACUAAUAUGUCUUUCCAACGAGGAUUCCAAGCAGUAGAGGAUCAAAACCAUAUGGGUGAAGGAUAGGAAAAAGGACAUGUAAAAAGUAAUUGCAUCCCAGUUCCGCUUUAACCACAUUUCCGCAAAUACAAUAGAUAAUAUAUACUAUCAGUAUGCUAUCGCCUCCAUCCAGAGAGCCAGUCAGGGUGUAAAUCCUCCUAGGCUUAAGAAUAUUAUUUAUAUAUAUAUAUAUAUAUAUAUAUAUAGUGAGAUACCAGACAAUAAUAAAAGCAGUUAGAGAAAUGGAUAGCCUCCUACUGAUCAAGUGGGACAUCUAUAGUUUGACUCUAAUGUAUAAUGGUUGGGCAAGUCCUACCAGGUGAAACAUUAUCAAUUUUCUAACAUAUUAUAAUAUGAAGAUAUAUUUUUUUGGUCAAAACGGCAAAUUAUAUAGCUCUAAAGUGAGUACAUACUGCCAAAUCCCGAGAAAGUAAAGAGUACAAAGCAGAGGGAAUAUCUCAUAUAGAUGUCCAAAGGAACUCCCCGGAGUGUCGGACGACGAAGGAGGCAACCAGUCUGCUGCCCUGUUCGCCUUCCGAAAUACGUGUGCUGCCUGGAAGCCACCCAACUCCUGAGCCAGUCUCCGAGUCUCUCUAAUGAGGGGAUGAUCAUCACCAUAUCUAUCCACACCUCGAAUCCAGUCAAUCACCACAGAGGAGUCCCCCUCAAGAAGCACCCACUCGGCACUGAGGACUCUCCUCGCAUAUGAUUAUCCCUCCUAUAGAUGUCCAAAGGAACUUUCCGGAGUGCCGGACGACGAAGGAGGCGACCAGUUUGCUGCCCUGUUCGCCUUCCGAAAUACGUGUGCUGCCUGAAAGCCACCCAACUCCUGAGCCAGUCUCCGAGUCUCUCUAAUGAGGGGAUGAUCAUCACCAUAUCUAUCCACACCUCGAAUCCAAUCAAUCACCACAGAGGAGUCCCCCUCAAGAAGCACCCACUCGGCACUGAGGACUCUCCUCGCAUAUGACAACCCCUCCCAUGCAGUUCGAAGCUCUGCCCUUACAACUGUAAGUCCCGGCGUGCACUGUCCCCCUGCUACCACCAACCUGCCCCAGGAGCCUCUGAUCACAAAUCCAACCCCUUCAGAUACACAAUCCACCGACAUGCUCCCAUCGAAAUUCACUUAGAGAUAACCAAAAGGUGGGUGCAUCCAAGAAACAAAGGCGAACCUGGGCGCUAUGACAGCGGAUAAAGUGCCCCAGAUGUCCCUGGCCAUCUCACCAGCGAAUAACGCAGAGGCUGCGGUAACCUCCCCGGACUGUAAUAUAGCUCUGUCAACCACCAUCCUCGAUAACAGCCUCCUACCCUCAAGUAUGCCCGCAUUCCUGUCCACCCAAAUGUGGUAAGCCGGGUAUGCUCUAAAAAUGCCCUCCUCCCAAGAUCUGGGGCUCCGCAUGGAUACUCUCCAUAGAAUCAGGUUCUGUGCUGACUCCACCGACUGGGGCAAGGAAAUCGGUGAUCUACUCCAAAUCUCUCUCGCCCUCGAGCACCGCACAAAAACAUGAUCAAUAGUCUCCUCCACCUCUGUACACACCACACAGCACUGCGUGACCCGCACUCCUCGCCGGACUAGCAAACUUCUGGUCGGUAGGCAUCCUCAUGCCACCUUCCAGAUGAAGAGCGCUACACGCAGGUGAAUCCGCAUCCUUCAAAUCCAUCCUCCCUCUAUCUGCCGGCCUGACUCCCUACUGAACAUGGAAAGAAGAUCCCUAGCUCGUACCCGCGUCCGUCCCGAUGGCCUCCACACUAGCCUGUCCGACUCCUUCCGAAAUGGAACCGAUAGUGCUAGAACCAGCUCUGCCAACUGCUCUCCGAAUGCCUCCCGAAUCAACCCCUCCCUCCACUGACCCCCAACAAGGUCCAACAAAUCACAGACUCUGUAUCCAUAAAAUCUCACCAAAUCCACCAAGGUUGGCAGACGACUGAUCGACUGCUCAGUCACCCAACUGUCCGCCAAAACAUCGAUCGACCGUCCAUCCCCAAUAGACCAUCUAAUCUCCGGAAGAUAUUUUUUUCAUGAGUCAAUUGAUGCUUCGAAUCAGGGGCAAGAUGCCCAUUACAUCUUCAGAUUGAUGGAGGUUAUCAUGCAAGCGGUCACAGAUAAUGGGCCACAGUAUAAGAACUCCUUGGAGGAUUCUAACUGAUAUACGGCCACAUAUUUUCUAGACUCCAAGUGUUGUAUACUACAUAGAUCAGAUAGUGAUGGAUAUCGAGAAUAUUCAUAGAAUGAAGUAGGUUGUUAAGACAACCCGAUCCAAUAUGCAACCAAACAUAGAUGCUAUCUUUGAUGAGGAAGUACAUAGAGGUGAGAUAUUGAAAUUAGGAGUCACUUGUUUUGCUACCAAUAACAAUGCACUCAAUAGUCUCAUUAAGAAAAAAAGCAAGUUUGUGUUAGAUGUUCAUCAGUACCAAGUGGCAAGAGAGAAGAUAUGCCUAGACGACACUAAAAACAGUCACGUCGAGGGCUUGUCACAAGCCAAUAGUUUUGGUAGUGGACUUGAGAGAAUUCUGAAGGCUACUACAGCAUUGUAUCAAAUACUUUCGAUUCAAAUCUAGCAAAAUCUCUCAUUGUUCAUAGCCUUCAGCAUUCUAAAUUGCUCCACCUGAAUGCCCAAUUGCCCAAAUCAUCCCACGAUACCAGCAAUGGUAGCAAUUGAAGCGAUGAUGCAUCCAGUGGCCAAAGGGUAGCAAUGGACAUGACUUAGCAGUAUAUGACUCAUAGUCUUAGAGUGGCCUUCCAUUCACCAACGAGUCCUAGUUUAUUUGUACCACAUAGAAUAGAGACCGCAAUACCCGACCAGAAAGAACUCGCAAGGAUACCAUUGCAUACAGAAGAAAGGCCCCUUGAUGUUAUUCUAAACAUAAUACUACAGCUACAGAUAACAUUGCACGUCAAGUAGUAUCUUUGGACAUAUCUAGAUCCGAGUCAUACACCAGUCCUACUCCACAUAGUUAGAUAUGAUUCGGAUCGAUAUGGCUUAUUUGAGACAUCGUAUUCAAGUAGGUACUAUCCUUCAAUGCAAGAUUCGUCGUCUCAAUACCGAAUCCCGUACUGGUACUAUCCUAUUACAAUGUGGGUAUGCAAUACUGUAUGAGGCAACGAACAUACCAAAUGUUGGUACGAUACAAGAUUGCAUAAUAUUUUAGUACCAGUAUGGUACGAGAUCGAGUAUCGAUUCAGUAUCGAUAUGGCGACUCAUGGGUCGGAUUUUGUUGCAGCGAUCUUCCAAUAGCUAGCCUAGAAUUAAAUAAAGGAACAGUAUUAGGGUAGCUAUCCAGCGGGCAAGCAAGAAUAUGUGACACUCCUGAAAUUUUAGAGUGAUAGCAUAGGCUCAGACUACGAUUGCGAUCCUGAUAUCUAUGAGGGACAUUGACAUUCCACAAAAUUUUAAAAGUCAGUACAUAUUUUGUACUUUAAAUACAUUAAACCGACUCUCUUUGUUGUAUUAUAUGUAUAUUCACUUAUAAAUACUUCAAUUUCAUUUCAUGACAAAAAGACAUCAAAACACUGUCAAAAUUACAAAUUAAACCAUAAUCAUCAAAAUCAUAGGAGGACACAAAAAAUUGAGGAAACGAAAGAAAUUGAAAAAACAAAAAUAAACAAAUAAAAUGACGUACCGUCAAAUGACCGGCGUGCUGGACAUGUCAUGUGUCGAUAUGGUACUAAACUAGUACCAUACCAUACCGGUGCCAUACCAUACCGACUGUCGGCUGAUAUGGCACCCAACACCGGUUCGACGAACCUUGCAUGUACUUGAUAAUAACUAGAGAUUACACAUCCAAGAGAUCAGAUAAAGUUGAACUCAAAAAAAAAAAAA